UGUGACAGAAUAGUGUGAUAAAUUUAAGAUUUAUUUAUAAAGUUUCAUCUUUCUUUAGAA
rnacentral:tRNA from 2 species